UUAUACGGGGGGAACGCGAAGAACCUUACCAAAUCUUGACAUCCUUUGAAAACUCUAGAGAUAGAGCCUUCCCCUUCGGGGGACAAAGUGACAGGUGGUGCAUGGUUGUCGUCAGCUCGUGUCGUGAGAUGUUGGGUUAAGUCCCGCAACGAGCGCAACCCUUAAACUUAGUUGCCAGCAUUUAGUUGGGCACUCUAGGUUGACUGCCGGUGACAAACCGGAGGAAGGUGGGGAUGACGUCAAAUCAUCAUGCCCCUUAUGAUUUGGGCUACACACGUGCUACAAUGGACAAUACAAAGGGCAGCUAAACCGCGAGGUCAUGCAAAUCCCAUAAAGUUGUUCUCAGUUCGGAUUGUAGUCUGCAACUCGACUACAUGAAGCUGGAAUCGCUAGUAAUCGUAGAUCAGCAUGCUAAUUCGGG
rnacentral:rRNA from 1 species